rnacentral:rRNA from 1 species
GGGGAAUUUUCCGCAAUGGGCGAAAGCCUGACGGAGCAAUACCGCGUGUGGGAGGAAGGCCCUUGGGUUGUAAACCACUUUUAUCAGGGAAGAAGCUCUGACGGUACCUGAUGAAUAAGCAUCGGCUAACUCCGUGCCAGCAGCCGCGGUAAUACGGAGGAUGCAAGCGUUAUCCGGAAUCAUUGGGCGUAAAGCGUCCGUAGGUGGUUUGUCAAGUCUGUCGUCAAAGAAUGGAGCUUAACUCCAUAAAGGCGGUGGAAACUGAGRGACUAGAGUUCGGUAGGGGUAGCGGGAAUUCCCAGUGUAGCGGUGAAAUGCGUAGAUAUUGGGAAGAAC